UACGUAGGCAGCAAGCGUUGUUCGGAGUUACUGGGCGUAAAGGGUGUGUAGGCGGUUUUCUAAGUUUGGUGUGAAAUCUCCCGGCUCAACUGGGAGGGUGCGCCGAAAACUGGAAAGCCAGAGUACUGGAUGGGAGAGUGGAAUUCCUGGUGUAGCGGUGAAAUGCGUAGAUAUCAGGAGGAACACCUGUGGUGUAGACGGCUCUCUGGACAGUCACUGACGCUGAGACACGAAAGCGUGGGUAGCAAACAGG
rnacentral:rRNA from 1 species